GUCCACGCCCUAAACUAUGUCAACUAGCCGUUGGGAUCAUUGAAGGUCUUAGUGGCGAAGCUAACGCGAUAAGUUGACCGCCUGGGGAGUACGGCCGCAAGGUUAAAACUCAAAGGAAUUGACGGGGGCCCGCACAAGCGGUGGAGCAUGUGGUUUAAUUCGAUGCAACGCGAAGAACCUUACCAGGCCUUGACAUCUAGCGAACUUUCAAGAGAUGGAUUGGUGCCUUCGGGAGCGCUAAGACAGGUGCUGCAUGGCUGUCGU
rnacentral:rRNA from 1 species